ensembl:lncRNA
GUCGUCCGCCUCUCUGCGCGUCAGCUGUUGUUCUGCGGCGGAGCGCUGUCCUUGGUGCUGACAGCUGUGCGCGCUCUUUUACGCGCGCCCCCGCACCUCCUCCAGUUUUUCGCGUUGGCGUCCCGCAAAUGCCAACGGAGGACCGUGCAGACCUACAUGAUAUGUUUCUCAUAAUCCCCAUCAGGACCAUCUGCCAGUACUUGGACAUGAUUCAUUACAUA